rnacentral:rRNA from 1 species
CCUACGGGUGGCAGCAGUGAGGAAUAUUGGACAAUGGGCGCAAGCCUGAACCAGCCAAGCAGCGUGAAGGAUGACGGCCCUAGGGGUGGUAAACUUCUUUUAGAUGGGAAUAAAGUGCAGUAUGUAUACUGCUUUGCACGUACCUUAUGAAUAAGGAACGGCUAACUCCGUGCCAGCAGCCGCGGUAAUACGGAGGAUCCGAGCGUUAUCCGGAUUUAUUGGGUGUAAAGGGAGCGUAGGCGGGUUGGUAAGUCAGUUGUGAAAGUUUGCGGCUCAACCGUAGAACUGCAGUUGAUACUGGCAUCCUUGAGUACAGUAGAGGUAGGCGGAAUUCGUGGUGUAGCGGUGAAAUGCGUAGAUAUCAGGAAGAACUCCGAUUGCGAAGGCAGCCUGCUGGACUGUAACUGACGCUGAUGCUCGAAAGUGUCGGUAUCAAACAGGAUUAGAUACCCGUGUAGUC